GGCCCUUUAGCUCAGUGGUUAGAGCUGGCGACUCAUAAUCGCUUGGUCGUUGGUUCAAACCCAACAGGGGCCACCA
rnacentral:tRNA from 1 species